CUCAAUGAAAGAGGGGACAUGGGCAAGUAAAUGGUUCAUGAGUAGUGUACUUGAUCCUGUAGUUGACACUCCCAGUUUUAUGUUUGAAAUCUAUUUUUAUGAUAAUCGAGCCACAAGAUAAAAGGCUAAUUCUCCAAAGUAUAGUCACAUAAGCAUUCUUGAUGUAAGGAUCACUUGUAGAGCUAUAGUGAGUUUUAUUGUUCCACAUAGGAGUUUUGAUCUUUUUUUUCUAUGCUAUAUAAUAUGUGAUCACAAUCGUAAAUGUCAUUGAUAUCUCUUGUGCGCAUAAGAUUUUAAAGUACAAAGAUUACGUGAUCACUUAGUAAAGGUAAUAAAAGUCAAAUGUAUCAUUAGAAGAAGCUAUGUGUACAUGAUCAUAGUGACAUCAUCCCAGGGGCUACUAGCCUAGCUUGGGUCAUGGAUGGUGACAUUAUGCCAGGGGCCAUUGUUUCCGAACUCGUGUUAAUAUAAUUGCACCCUCGCAGGGGCCAAAGAUCAUAGCUGGGGUCAUGAUUAUUGAUACACCAUCCCUGGGGAAAUGAGUCUAGCUCGGGUCAUAUUCAUGCCACAUUUAGUUGGCCGUUUACUUUGGAUUCUAUCGAGGCUAAUUCUAUACCGUUCAUGAGACAUUGUACAUGCUUACAGAUAUGGUAUAGAUUGACUAAGGCAGAGGUACUCCAGUUAGUAGACCUCCACUAGAAUAGAGUACAUGGCGUACUUGGCUAUCUUGGAUAAGCUCCAUAAUGUUUGGGGCCUUACCGAGUCAUGUAUAUAUGUUUUGGUAUUGUAUAAGGAUUAAGGGUAAGGCGGGACCCUGUCCUGUCCUAAGUAUUUUUCAUAUAUAUAUAGUAGAGUCUUUGUAGACCUACGUUAAGGUAUGGCACAGUUACAACUUGACCCUUAAUAGGCAUAGCCUCGACGGUUAGUAUUAUAUGUACACGUUUUGGGCUUAUCUUAUGGGUCAUUAGAAUAAAGUAUUUCUGCUCUUACUUGGUA